AGUGAACGCUGGCGGUAGGCCUAACACAUGCAAGUCGAACGGCAGCACAGUAAGAGCUUGCUCUUACGGGUGGCGAGUGGCGGACGGGUGAGGAAUACAUCGGAAUCUACUUUUUCGUGGGGGAUAACGUAGGGAAACUUACGCUAAUACCGCAUACGUCCUACGGGUGAAAGCAGGGGAUCUUCGGACCUUGCGCGAUUGAAUGAGCCGAUGUCGGAUUAGCUAGUUGGCGGGGUAAAGGCCCACCAAGGCGACGAUCCGUAGCUGGUCUGAGAGGAUGAUCAGCCACACUGGAACUGAGACACGGUCCAGACUCCUACGGGAGGCAGCAGUGGGGAAUAUUGGACAAUGGGCGCAAGCCUGAUCCAGCCAUACCGCGUGGGUGAAGAAGGCCUUCGGGUUGUAAAGCCCUUUUGUUGGGAAAGAAAAGCAGCAGGUUAAUACCCCGCUGUUCUGACGGUACCCAAAGAAUAAGCACCGGCUAACCUCGUG
rnacentral:rRNA from 1 species